rnacentral:rRNA from 1 species
GUAGUCCACGCCCUAAACGAUGUCAACUGGGUGUUGGGGGAGCGAUCUCCUGGUACCGUAGCUAACGCGUGAAGUUGACCGCCUGGGGAGUACGGCCGCAAGGUUAAAACUCAAAGGAAUUGACGGGGACCCGCACAAGCGGUGGAUGAUGUGGAUUAAUUCGAUGCAACGCGAACAACCUUACCUACCCUUGACAUGUGCCGGAGCCCGCUGAGAGGUGGGUGUGCCCGAAAGGGAACGGCAACACAGGUGCUGCAUGGCUGUCGUCAGCUCGUGUCGUGAGAUGUUGGGUUAAGUCCCGCAACGAGCGCAACCCUUGUCCCUAGUUGCUACGCAAGGGCACUCUAGGGAGACUGCCGGUGACAAACCGGA